CUACGGGGUGCUGCAGUGGGGAAUAUUGCACAAUGGGCGAAAGCCUGAUGCAGCAACGCCGCGUGAGGGACGACGGCCUUCGGGUUGUAAACCUCUUUUAGCAGGGAAGAAGCGAAAGUGACGGUACCUGCAGAAAAAGCACCGGCUAGCUACGUGCCAGCAGCCGCGGUAAUACGUAGGGUGCAAGCGUUGUCCGGAAUUAUUGGGCGUAAAGAGCUCGUAGGCGGUUUGUCGCGUCUGCUGUGAAAAUCCGAGGCUCAACCUCGGACCUGCAAUGGGUACGGGCAAACUAGAGUGCGGUAGGGGAGAUUGGAAUUCCUGGUGUAGCGGUGGAAUGCGCAGAUAUCAGGAGGAACACCAAUGGCGAAGGCAGAUCUCUGGGCCGUAACUGACGCUGAGGAGCGAAAGCGUGGGGAGCGAACAGGAUUAGAUACCCGCGUAGUC
rnacentral:rRNA from 1 species